ACAAGCUCCAGUCCUCCUCUGAAGUCAUUCCUGAAGGAAUAUUUUCAAUAAUGCUUGGAAUAAUAAUAAGGAGGUGCUAUGUAAGAGCUUCUGAUGCAGCCAGUUUCCAUCAGGGAAAGCUGCAGAAUACCUACGGAGGGGGCUGGUUCGAAGGCAUACCUCUAGAGCAGUAAAACACUUGGGCCAUCUUGAUGCUCUGUGCCAGCAGGCUGAGUUUCCCUGCGAAAUCUGAGCCUGUGCUCUGACAGGAUUCUCACUGUUUCUGCCUAACCUGAUAAGGAGGCUGGGAUUCUUUACCCAACCUCCCUCCCUUUCCCUUUUCUCUGAAAGAAGGGUUGAGAUGUGUGAAUGGAAAAGCAUGCAAGGGGGACCAGCAACCUCAACUAAAGUAACUUUGCUUAUGUCUUUGUAACAGCCAUUGCCAAAAUGACAUCCUUCUUCUAAAGUAGCCACCACAUCCACCAAAAGAAGCAGAAGGGAUUAUUUAUGUACUUAUACACAGCUAUUUCCAGGUGCAGAGAAGACACAUUCGAUCCUGUAUCUGUCCACAAGUAAAGGGGUGAGGUACAGCCUCUGAUGUUAAUGCAGAAAAUGUCUUUCAUUGGUGCAAACCCAGCAGUUGUCUUAUUUGCUUUCUGUCUGUCUGCUGGCAACCCAAAAAUACGUUGGAAUCCAUAGGGAUGCUGUAUCACUGUAGAGACUUCCCCACAACAAGUUUUCUGGUUGAAGGAUAAUCUUGCUUUCUGUCACAAUUUGGAGCUAUUCCAAUAGGCUGUUGCACUCUGAAGGUAUUCCCAGUCCCAACUCCGUGCCAGAGUGAAAUGCCAAAUAUGUUUUGAUUUUGUUUUUGUUUGGGUUUUUGUUUGUUUGUUUGUUUGUUUUGGCCUUCUGUUUACUUCACUUUAGAAAAAUGCUAUGUGAUUUACCGCUUGGACAGUUAGAACAUGGUUGAGGAGGAGGGCAGUCCAAGGUACCAGGACUUCCAUCUAACGCUAGCAGAAUUGAAGCACUUGCCUUCCUUUCUGUUCAUCUGUGGAAUGAAGGAGAGCUUGGAGACAUCCCUCCACCCAGUCUUUUCAGCCUCGUGGUGCUGCAGCUUCCCAGGACUCAGUGGGCUGGCUAGUGAGACUUCCCACCUGAGGCUUCUCCCUGUCCUCAAACAAGAUGCCUGGACUUCCUACCCACACCCUAGAAAGCAGGCGCUUAAUGAUUAGGGUGUUCAGUGCCCAAAUACUUUACUAGCAGCCUUGAAACUGCAGCUCCUAAUACCAGCACACACAGGCACUCCCACCACGUUAUGCUUCCUGGAAAGCUCCUGAAGCACAGACAGGACAUACAGCUACGCCUCUCAAAGUAUGCAAACACAGGACUUGGGACAAACUGCAGAUGAACUUGCAACCCCCAGAGAAGAAUGAGGGCUUCAACUCCAGCCAGCCUGAGGACAUCCUUCAAUCUGUAGGGCUGUACCCCAGCUUCUGCAUCAGGCAGCUUUUACAAGCAACUCCAAACUGAAGGCAAAAUAUUUGACUAUAAAUUCAGAGCACACUGGGAAACACUAAUACUUCCACUAAUAAAUACAAGAGCUUUCAACACAGCGUCAGGCAAUUUUUCCCUCCUCAAAUAAUGGUGCUUUAGUUGCUAUCCAAGCAAAGGGAGGGCCUGAUUCUCCUCCAGACUUGCAGUGGUCUGGGUGCCAAGAAAUGAUAAAACAAAUGCCUGCUGCCACCUGAGAACGGCAUUGCCUAUGGGCACAAAAAGUAUGCACGAAGGCAUGCUAUAGCAGAGCAAGUCUCAGGAAGCAACAGGUUAAUAGUGGUAAUUAAGAAGCUGAAAUUAAAUUAAUGCAUUUUUGUUGGGGCUAGUUAAACAGUGCACUGGUAUAACGUCCUGCAUAA
ensembl:lncRNA